UACGUAGGGUCCGAGCGUUGUCCGGAAUUACUGGGCGUAAAGCGUGCGUAGACGGUUAUUUAAGUCAGGUGUGAAAGCCCCGGGCUCAACCUGGGAAUUGCAUUUGAGACUGAAUAGCUAGGGUGCGGAAGAGGGAAGCGGAAUUUCCGGUGUAGCGGUGAAAUGCGUAGAUAUCGGAAGGAACACCAGUGGCGAAAGCGGCUUCCUGGUCCAGCACCGACGUUCAGGCACGAAAGCGUGGGGAGCAAACAGG
rnacentral:rRNA from 1 species